CCCUGGACUCACCAGCUGUGCAUUACUCAGCCGUGCUGCCUAGGGGCUGGAGUGUGCCAGGAGCAGGGACUCCGGGAGUUAUGAGAUGCUGACCCUGCAUAGGAGACACGUGAAGUUCUUCAUCUCUCACUGGGUGAUUUGUUGGUUGACUGCUUGGUGUCCUCAAAGGAAGAGGAUGAUCAGUGGCUAGAUUUCCUGCCCAGGGGUGAAGAGGAAACCUAGGACAUUGCUGAACCCAGCACCCACCUCUCCAACAACCAGUACCCCCAGAGCCAGACACAAGCCCUGUGCCCCAGGCCCUGCUACAAUCCCCAGCUCUGCAUGCAGGCUCCCACAGUUUGCAUUUACUUGAACAAGAAUGGCAGCACUGGGCCCCACCUAGACAAGGAAGAAGGUUCAGCAGCUGCCAGACCAUUUUGGACCAGCUCGAGCUUCUGUUGUCCUGCAGCAAGCAGUACAGGCCUGCAUUGAUUGUGCUUAUCAUCAGAAAACAGUCUUCU